rnacentral:lncRNA from 1 species
AUUAAAGUACGCAGAAUGUAUAGUUACGCGUAUAUGUACAGGCACGUUUGGUUCGCACUAUAAAAAAUUACUAAAAGUAAAAAGAUAUCCGAAAAUUUUAUUAUCAUUCAUCUUAUUAUUAAAAAUAUAAUAUUUCGGUAUUUGGUUCGUACGGUUAUAUUAUUUAGUUAUGUUAUUUAAGAUUACAAAAAAUAUAGAAUUAGUUAAUUUAUUUUUUUUAAUUAAUUUUAAAUAAUACUAUAAAAAAUUUUAACAUUCUUUUAGAAAUAAAAGAGAGAAAAUAUAGGGUAGAAAGAGAGAGCAUAGUUAAAGAAUUAGGAAGAGAAAUAGAGUCGAGGUUAGAGAGAAUGAAAGGGUUGAGAUUUUAGAAAAAGAGGAGGAGAAAUAGCUUAGUUUUGAGAGAGAAAAAAAGUUGAAGUUUAGAGAGAAAAAGAUAAGUUUAGAGAGAGAAAUGAGGUUAGAGUGUAAAGAAAAAUAAUACCAACUAGUCGUCGGGUGGGAAAAAAGAAAAAUAUCGGACAUAUUAUAAUUAUCCCAAUCCAUUAAUAUAAGGAUACCCACCAUUUCUUAAAUGAAUGAGAUUAGUACUUUGGGAUGCAUCUCAUUCCCAAGUAAAUCUAAUAUUACCAACUAGAUUACUUAAUGCGUUUAACCAAAUACCGUUAUAUUUUUUUAUUUCUAUUGGAUUACUAGAAAUCUUAAAAAGAUAACGCGAAUCAAACACGCCCUUAUAAUAUUGUAGAGAGCGUUCAUUUUUCACAAUAUGCGCGUUCCACUUAACAAUU